GCAUGCCAGGAGAGCACUCUCCUCUGAGCUCUGUCCCCAGCCCCUUCACUUCACAUUCCAAGUGGGCACAGCUGGCAUGAAUAAAUGCUGGUUUUACUGUUGAAGAAAACAGCUACUCUGGAGACACGUACACAUGGACACACAUCCCCUGACCCUCCUGUGCCUGCCCAGGAAAACAUCUCAUCUCUGGAGUUGGCAUCAGAAGCUGUCAGAAUUUCUUGGAUCUUUCAGGUUUGAACUGCUGGUCUCAGCUAAGCACUACUGUGAGAGAAGAAGACACAACAGUUAAGCAAGAGAAGUUUGUACCCUCUUGUGCCUGCACUAGAGAAGGCUGUAGAAAGUGAGUAAGGUUCCACAUAAACAAAAUAUUUCACAUAGUGAUAAAACAAUCUGAUGAAAAAGAGAGAAUAAUGGCUUGCCACAUGAGGUUAGAUAGGUGGUCAUGCAUAGCCCCUCUGAAAGUUGAGUAAAUCAAGACCCAAAUGAGAAAAAUGCAGCCACACCAUAACCUGCAAUCUGGAGAGUGUUCAGGCUAUGCACACAGCCAGGGCAGACAUCCUGCAGUGCUCACAGUCCUGGGGUGGGGUCGGGGGCAGGCCCACAUGGCUUGGGCCCAGGCAGGAGUGCAGUAUGCAGGCAAUGAGGUGAGCAGGGGAAGAUAGUGGCCCAUCCUGUGGGCAGUGACCAUGAACCUGUGUUCACUCACCAAAAGGAGCUUCCAGGCGGUGGCUCUGUGGAGUGCUCAAAGAUUCCUUCUGUUUCUUGUGGAAAAAUCUGUGGCCCCAUAGGGAAUGCAGUG